rnacentral:misc_RNA from 1 species
CAGGGUUUGGCAGGAACCGCACACCAC